rnacentral:rRNA from 1 species
GGGUUGUGAGGUUAAGCGACUAAGCGUACACGGUGGAUGCCUAGGCAGUCAGAGGCGAUGAAGGGCGUGCUAAUCUGCGAAAAGCGUCGGUAAGCUGAUAUGAAGCGUAAUAACCGACGAUACCCGAAUGGGGAAACCCAGUGCAAUUCGUUGCACUAUUGCAUGGUGAAUACAUAGCCAUGCAAGGCGAACCGGGGGAACUGAAACAUCUAAGUACCCCGAGGAAAAGAAAUCAACCGAGAUUCCCCCAGUAGCGGCGAGCGAACGGGGAAGAGCCCAGAGUCUGAAUCAGUUGGUGUGUUAGUGGAAGCGUCUGGAAAGUCGCACGGUACAGGGUGAUAGUCCCGUACACAAAAACACACUGGCUGUGAACUCGAUGAGUAGGGCGGGACACGUGACAUCCUGUCUGAAUAUGGGGGGACCAUCCUCCAAGGCUAAAUACUCCUGACUGACCGAUAGUGAACCAGUACCGUGAGGGAAAGGCGAAAAGAACCCCGGCGAGGGGAGUGAAAUAGAACCUGAAACCGUGUACGUACAAGCAGUGGGAGCACCUUCGUGGUGUGACUGCGUACCUUUUGUAUAAUGGGUCAGCGACUUAUAUUUUGUAGCAAGGUUAACCGAAUAGGGGAGCCGUAGGGAAACCGAGUCUUAACUGGGCGUCUAGUUGCAAGGUAUAGACCCGAAACCCGGUGAUCUAGCCAUGGGCAGGUUGAAGGUUGGGUAACACUAACUGGAGGACCGAACCGACUAAUGUUGAAAAAUUAGCGGAUGACUUGUGGCUGGGGGUGAAAGGCCAAUCAAACCGGGAGAUAGCUGGUUCUCCCCGAAAGCUAUUUAGGUAGCGCCUCGUGAACUCAUCUUCGGGGGUAGAGCACUGUUUCGGCUAGGGGUCCAUCCCGGAUUACCAAACCGAUGCAAACUCCGAAUACCGAAGAAUGUUAUCACGGGAGACACACGGCGGGUGCUAACGUCCGUCGUGAAGAGGGAAACAACCCAGACCGCCAGCUAAGGUCCCAAAGUCAUGGUUAAGUGGGAAACGAUGUGGGAAGGCAUAGACAGCCAGGAUGUUGGCUUAGAAGCAGCCAUCAUUUAAAGAAAGCGUAAUAGCUCACUGGUCGAGUCGGCCUGCGCGGAAGAUGUAACGGGGCUAAACCAUGCACCGAAGCUGCGGCAGCGACGCUUAGGCGUUGUUGGGUAGGGGAGCGUUCUGUAAGCCGUUGAAGGUGGCCUGUGAGGGCUGCUGGAGGUAUCAGAAGUGCGAAUGCUGACAUAAGUAACGAUAAUGCGGGUGAAAAACCCGCACGCCGGAAGACCAAGGGUUCCUGUCCAACGUUAAUCGGGGCAGGGUGAGUCGACCCCUAAGGCGAGGCUGAAAAGCGUAGUCGAUGGGAAACAGGUUAAUAU